GGCUGGUCCAAGGGCAGUGGUGUUUACAACUAACUGAUCACAGCCAGUUACGGAUUUCUUUGUUCCUUUUCCACUCCCACUGCUUCAUUUGAACAAACAAAC
ensembl:misc_RNA Y_RNA Y RNA